rnacentral:lncRNA from 1 species
AACACUUCAAGCAUAAUGUGUUUUGAAUUCUCCAAGUUUUCGUGAGGUUCAAGACCCCAUAUCAAGGCUGAAUUUAAAGACACAUACAACACUAGGGGGGAGGGAUUACAGAUUAUAGGUAAAAGAUCAAAGUUUACACAAAAAGAAAGAUAUAAAGAAUAUUGCAAUACAUGAUAGCAAAAUAAUACACAAUUCUAAAA